GCCCGCCUAGCUCAAUCGGAUAGAGCGUCAGACUCUUAACAGUCCAAGGCGGGUUAAUUCCCAAUUUGAAUGUGGAAUCUGAAGGCUGCGAGUUCGACCCUCGCGGUGGGCU